AUUGAACGCUGGCGGCAGGCCUAACACAUGCAAGUCGAGCGAGCGGCGGAAGGGUGCGUAAUGCCUGGGAUUUGCCAAGUCGCGGGGGAUAACAGUUGGAAACGACUGCUAAUACAGUAUACGAUUGGAUUGCCCCGGUGGUAUGAGCUAGUUGGUGAGGUACUGGCUCACCAAGGCGACGAUCCCUAGCUGGUAUGAGAGGAUGAUCAGCCACACUGGAACUGAGACACGGUCCAGACUCCUACGGGAGGCAGCAGUGGUGAAUUUUGCACAAUGGGAGGAAGCCUGAUGCAGCCAGCGCGCGUGUGUUAAGAAGGACUUCGGGUUGUAAAGCACUGUAAGCGAGGAGGCGGUACUCUCAGAAGAAGCACCGGCUAACUCCGUGCCAGCCGCCGCGGUAAUAC
rnacentral:rRNA from 1 species